UACGAAGGGGGCUAGCGUUGCUCGGAAUCACUGGGCGUAAAGGGUGCGUAGGCGGGUCUUUUAAGUCAGGGGUGAAAUCCUGGAGCUCAACUCCAGAACUGCCUUUGAUACUGAGGAUCUUGAGUUCGGGAGAGGUGAGUGGAACUGCGAGUGUAGAGGUGAAAUUCGUAGAUAUUCGCAAGAACACCAGUGGCGAAGGCGGCUCACUGGCCCGAUACUGACGCUGAGGCACGAAAGCUAGGGGAGCAAACAGG
rnacentral:rRNA from 1 species